CCCUUAGAUGUCCUGGGCCGCACGCGCGUUACACUGAUGCAUUCAACGAGCUUAUAACCUUGGCCGAGAGGCCUGGGCAAUCUUGUUAACGUGCAUCGUGAUAGGGAUAGAUUAUUGAAAUUAUUAAUCUUGAACGAGGAAUUCCUAGUAAACGCAGAUCAUCAAUCUGCAUUGAUUACGUCCCUGCCCUUUGUACACACCGCCCGUCGCACCUACUGAUUGAAUGACUCGGUGAAAAAUCGGGACUGCGAGAACAAUCGAUUAAUUUCGAAUGUACUUGUGGGAACUUUUUUUAACCUCGCCAUUUAGAAGAAGGUGAAGUCGUAACA
rnacentral:rRNA from 1 species